rnacentral:rRNA from 1 species
UGGGGAAUAUUGCACAAUGGGCGCAAGCCUGAUGCAGCAACGCCGCGUGAGGGACGACGGCCUUCGGGUUGUAAACCUCUUUUAGUAGGGAAGAAGCGAAAGUGACGGUACCUGCAGAAAAAGCACCGGCUAACUACGUGCCAGCAGCCGCGGUAAUACGUAGGGUGCGAGCGUUGUCCGGAAUUAUUGGGCGUAAAGAGCUCGUAGGCGGUCUGUCGCGUCUGCUGUGAAAACCCCGAGGCUCAACCUCGGGCCUGCAGUGGGUACGGGCAGACUAGAGUGCGGUAGGGGAGAAUGGAAUUCCUGGUGUAGCGGUGGAAUGCGCAGAUAUCAGGAGGAACACCGAUGGCGAAGGCAGUUCUCUGGGCCGUAACUGACGCUGAGGAGCGAAAGCGUGGGGAGCGAACAGGAUUAGAUACCCUGGUAGUCCACGCCGUAAACGUUGGGCGCUAGAUGUGGGGACCAUUCCACGGUUUCCGUGUCGCAGCUAACGCAUUAAGCGCCCCGCCUGGGGAGUACGGCCGCAAGGCUAAAACUUAAAGGAAUUGACGGGGUCAUAGCUGUUUCCU